GAUGACUUGACCCAGAGACUAUUUGACACAAUGCUGACAGCUCUGAGGAGAUCCAUCCAGGGUCAUAUACAUGCCAUAGACUCCUUUGUUAGCAGUGGGAUGGUUAUGUUAUCUACACGACCAGAGAGCAUAGAGGAGAUCGGAGACGCCAACUCCAAACACAGCCAACUCCAGGCCCAGAAACCUGAGGUUCUGCCUCAGUUCCAGCAGAUGGAGGAGAAGAACAG